rnacentral:sRNA from 1 species
AGAUUUUCCUACCUGCUUAUACUUGGUAACCGAGGGAAUUUCUAAGACUUCUUGCUCAUUUCUGAGUAUUGUCUUUAUAUCCUGACACUAUGAAUGCUACUUGGAUGCCUCUUAAGGGUCUCUUCUGCAGGGUCCCCAUGAAUUGUGGCUGAAGUUGUGCACAAACAAGUAUCUCCAGUGACAGGAGUGCCUUCUGAGGCAGCCAUUGCAUCUUCAUCUGCUGACACUCUGCUAGGCUGACUUCUGUAGUUUUCACCACUGAUCUUCAGUCCACCUCACAGAGCUCUAUAAAACGCUUAAAUCCUCUUUACAUCAUAGACUUUCAGCUACUUGAAGAUAGCCAUCAGCCGCUACGUGACUCUUUUCUCCAGGAACGAGGGGUCCCUGAGGGAAAGGACUGGGGCUCCUUCAUCUCUAUGAUCCUAGUGCAGUGUCUGAAGGCAUCAGGCCCUUCUCCUUCUGGGGCUGAACCCCGUCUCUGCCUCCCUCCAGGACCAGCACUGCGAGAGCCUGUCCCUGGCCAGCAACAUCUCAGGACUGCAGUGCAACGCAUCCGUGGA